CAUGCAAGUCGAACGUCUUUUUCCAAUCAUGUAGCUUGCUACGACCGGUUGGAAAUUGAGUGGCGAACGGGUGAGUAACACGUGGGUAACCUGCCCAAAAGAGGGGAUAACACUUGGAAACAGGUGACUAAUACCGCAUAACCAUGAUGACCGCAUGGUCAUUAUGUAAAAGAUGGUUUCGGCUAUCACUUUUGGAUGGACCCGCGGCGUAUUAACUUGUUGGUGGGGUAACGGCCUACCAAGGUAAUGAUACGUAGCCGAACUGAGAGGUUGAUCGGCCACAUUGGGACUGAGACACGGCCCAAACUCCUACGGGAGGCAGCAGUAGGGAAUCUUCCACAAUGGGCGCAAGCCUGAUGGAGCAACGCCGCGUGAGUGAAGAAGGUCUUCGGAUCGUAAAACUCUGUUGUUAGAGAAGAACAUGCGAGAGAGUAACUGCUCUUGUAUUGACGGUAUCUAACCAGAAAGCCACGGCUAACUACGUGCC
rnacentral:rRNA from 1 species